GAUGAAGAACGCAGCGAAAUGCGAUAAGUAAUGUGAAUUGCAGAAUUCAGUGAAACAUCGAAUCUUUGAACGCACAUUGCGCCCGCCAGUAUUCUGGCGGGCAUGCCUGUUCGAGCGUCAUUACAACCCUCAGGCCCCCGGGCCUGGCGUUGGGGAUCGGCGGAGCCCCCCGUGGGCACACGCCGUCCCCCAAAUGCAGUGGCGGUCCCGCCGCAGCUUCCAUCGCGUAGUAGCUAACACCUCGCGACUGGAGAGCGGCGCGGCCACGCCGUAAAACACCCAACUCUUCUGAAGUUGACCUCGAAUCAGGUAGGAAUACCCGCUGAACUUAAGCAUAUCAAUAAGCGGAGGA
rnacentral:misc_RNA from 1 species